GAGCCCCCCCCCCCAUUUAUCUGUCCAGGCUCCAACCAUAAAAUGAACUUUCAAGAGGCCCCGGGAUACCGGGUCCCCGGGACUCAUCCCCGAGCACUCCCCCACCCUGACCCCAAGUCUCCCACAUGACCCCUGUGCUGCGCACUAUCACCACUCCAGCCAGGAUCGGCAAGUGGGCACCCCUGCUCUGCCAGUACUACCCCCGGUCCUGGAGAAUGAGCUCCCCCCAACUUCCGCACAGCAGCUCUCCUCCUGAUCACUCCCCUUUCUUCCCCUGUAAACAACAUACUUAGUAUAGACAUAAUUUUCCCCCAAGAGUAUAAGUUAGGCCCUAGGAACUGGUCUAAUAGUUCAGCUAGCCUGAUGGGGUCCUCAGUUAAAGACUUCAUCUCCUUCUUAAAACUCCUAACCUCUCUGCUGGUAAGGAGAGGGGGGAGUUCACCUAAGAGGAUACACAGUUAGUGUUAGGACUGUUAAUAUCAGGGAAGGCGAAAUUCUCAAUCUCUCUUCUACCUAUUUCUAAUUCUUACCAGAGCCUAGAGUACGCUCCUUCUCUAGGGACAGUGUUAACUGCAGUCCCUGUCUCCCUUCCUGGAGCAACUGCUGCUGCCUCCGGUGCAAUAUUAGGAUUAUAGGGAGCAUAACUUGACUCCUUCUCCGAAAAAGGAAUCUUAUUGUUUACACAUAAAUUUCAAGCCUGAAUUUUCAUCAGGCCCGUAUUUUGGCCAAAAUACUGCUGUUUCCCUAAUUGGUUCUUUUGUCCAGACUGAUACACAAUAUUUAACCAUUUUCUUCUUUUAUCAUUUCCUCUGAUUUUGGGAUUAUUUUUCCCAUUUCUUUUCAUUCUUCAGGAAGAACUGUCGGUAGGCACUCCCCCAGGGAUAUCUCCCUGUCCCCUGGAACUCAUAUUUCUCAUUUUUCCUAUUCUGGAAAAUGGGGAUGUACUGCCAAGCACUUUACCGUGCAAGGGGUACCGCACACCUAUGAGUUUUCCAGAUUCCCUGGUGUACUGCCAAGCACUUCACCGUGCAAGGGCUACUGUAUACCAAAUUUCCCGAGACUCUUCCUUUCUCUCUCUUAUCUCACGCUUCAUCCGUCUCCGGCCGCGCCCCUCUGAAACAUGGGAUUAGAAAUUAGAGAGCGAUUGAUUAAGAAUGAAUAUGUAGGCAACAGUCAUUGCUUAAUAUGUGGCACAUUUGCGAUAUACUGUUCCUGUGCUGCUCUUAGGCCUCCAGAUAACAGGAGCCCCUGGGACCCCAAGAACCAGAUCAAACCAACCUUAUGGUUCGGACUUUGACCAAGGGCUCAGAGAUAAGGAGGACUGUUCACAAAAGGACAAGAUAAAGAAUGUCAAACAUGCAAGGCCUCG
rnacentral:lncRNA from 1 species